UACAGAGGUCUCAAGCGUUGUUCGGAUUCAUUGGGCGUAAAGGGGUGCGUAGGCGGCGCGGUAAGUCGGGUGUGAAAUCUCGGAGCUUAACUCCGAAACUGCAUUCGAUACUGCCGUGCUUGAGGACUGGAGAGGAGACUGGAAUUUAUGGUGUAGCGGUGAAAUGCGUAGAUAUCGUAAGGAAGACCAGUGGCGAAGGCGGGUCUCUGGACAGUUCCUGACGCUGAGGCACGAAGGUCAGGGGGAGCAAACGGGG
rnacentral:rRNA from 1 species